rnacentral:rRNA from 1 species
AUACGUAGGGGGCGAGCGUUGUCCGGAAUGAUUGGGCGUAAAGGGCGCGUAGGCGGCGCGGUAAGUCUGGAGUGAAAGUCCUGCUUUCAAGGUGGGAAUUGCUUUGGAUACUGCCGCGCUUGAGUGCAGGAGAGGUUAUCGGAAUUCCCGGUGUAGCGGUGAAAUGCGUAGAGAUCGGGAGGAACACCAGUGGCGAAGGCGGGUAACUGGACUGCAACUGACGCUGAGGCGCGAAAGUGUGGGGAGCAAACAGGAUUAGAUACCCUGGUAGUCCACACUGUAAACGAUGAAUGCUAGGUGUAAGAGGUAUCGACCCUUUUGUGCCGGAGUCAACACAAUAAGCAUUCCGCCUGGGGAGUACGGCCGCAAGGUUGAAACUCAAAUGAAUUGACGGGG